rnacentral:rRNA from 1 species
CCUACGGGAGGCAGCAGUGGGGGAUAUUGCACAAUGGGGGGAACCCUGAUGCAGCGACGCCGCGUGGGUGAAGAAGCGCCUCGGCGCGUAAAGCCCUGUCAGCAGGGAAGAAAAUGACGGUACCUGAAGAAGAAGCCCCGGCUAACUACGUGCCAGCAGCCGCGGUAAUACGUAGGGGGCAAGCGUUAUCCGGAUUUACUGGGUGUAAAGGGGGCGCAGACGGCGAUGCAAGCCAGGAGUGAAAGCCCGGGGCCCAACCCCGGGACUGCUCUUGGAACUGCGUGGCUGGAGUGCAGGAGGGGCAGGCGGAAUUCCUGGUGUAGCGGUGAAAUGCGGAGAUAUCAGGAGGAACACCGGUGGCGAAGGCGGCCUGCUGAACUGCAACUGACGUUGAGGCCCGAAAGCGUGGGGAGCAAACAGGAUUAGAUACCCCAGUAGUC